UCCUACGGGAGGCAGCAGUAAGGAAUAUUGGUCAAUGGGCGCAAGCCUGAACCAGCCAUGCCGCGUGCAGGAAGACGGCCCUAUGGGUUGUAAACUGCUUUUGUCAGGGAAUAAACCCCCGCUCGUGAGCGGGGCUGAAGGUACCUGAAGAAUAAGCAUCGGCUAACUCCGUGCCAGCAGCCGCGGUAAUACGGAGGAUGCAAGCGUUAUCCGGAUUCAUUGGGUUUAAAGGGUGCGCAGGCGGAUUGGUAAGUCAGGGGUGAAAUCCCACAGCUCAACUGUGGAACUGCCUUUGAUACUGUCAGUCUAGAGUAUAGUUGAAGUUGGCGGAAUGUGUCAUGUAGCGGUGAAAUGCUUAGAUAUGACACAGAACACCGAUCGCGAAGGCAGCUAGCUAAGCUAUAACUGACGCUCAUGCACGAAAGCGUGGGGAUCAAACAGGAUUAGAUACCCUGGUAGUCCACGCUGUAAACGGUGAUCACUAGGUGUAGCGGGUAUUGACCCCUGCUGUGCCGGAGUUAACGCAUUAAGUGAUCCGCCUGGGGAGUACGAUCGCAAGAUUAAAACUCAAAGGA
rnacentral:rRNA from 1 species